rnacentral:rRNA from 1 species
UACGUAGGGUGCGAGCGUUGUCCGGAAUUACUGGGCGUAAAGAGCUCGUAGGCGGCUUGUCGCGUCGACCGUGAAAACUUGGGGCUCAACCCCAAGCCUGCGGUCGAUACGGGCAGGCUCGAGUUCGGUAGGGAGACUGGAAUUCCUGGUGUAGCGGUGAAAUGCGUAGAUAUCAUUUGGAACGCCAACGGCGAAAGCAGGCAGCUGGGAUGCACCGACGCUGAGACACGAAAGCCAGGGGAGCGAACGGG